UGUCUUCUAAAUAAAGACCCGUAUGAACGGCUAAAUGAAGAUUAAACUGUCUCCUUUGACCAAUCAGUGAAACUGAUUUCCCAGUACAAAAGCUGGAAUAACACUAUAAGACGAGAAGACCCUGUGGAGCUUUAAACCCACAUCAAGCCGUACUUACUAUGUACACUUAUGAUCCCAGGUUUUAAGUUGGGGCGACUUUGGAGAAAAGUAAAACCUCCAAGCAAGAAAGCACUGCCUAAAUUUAGGUUUACUGACCCAAACAAACAUUGACCCAGUACUACUGAUCAACGAACCAAGUUACCCCAGGGAUAACAGCGCCAUCUUCUUCAAGAGUCCAUAUCGACAAGAAGGUUUACGACCUCGAUGUUGGAUCAGGACACCCAAAUGGUGAAGCCGCUAUUAAAGGUUCGUUUGUUCAACGAUUAACAGU
rnacentral:rRNA from 1 species